rnacentral:rRNA from 1 species
CCUACGGGAGGCAGCAGUGAGGAAUAUUGGUCAAUGGGCGCGAGCCUGAACCAGCCAAGUAGCGUGAAGGAUGACUGCCCUACGGGUUGUAAACUUCUUUUAUAAAGGAAUAAAGUGAGGCACGUGUGCCUUUUUGUAUGUACUUUAUGAAUAAGGAUCGGCUAACUCCGUGCCAGCAGCCGCGGUAAUACGGAGGAUCCGAGCGUUAUCCGGAUUUAUUGGGUUUAAAGGGAGCGUAGAUGGGUUGUUAAGUCAGUUGUGAAAGUUUGUGGCUCAACCGUAAAAUUGCAUUUGAUACUGGCAGUCUUGAGUACAGUUGAGGUAGGCGGAAUUCGUGGUGUAGCGGUGAAAUGCUUAGAUAUCACGAAGAACUCCGAUUGCGAAGGCAGCUGACUAAACUGCCACUGACAUUGAUGCUCGAAAGUGUGGGGAGCAAACAGGAUUAGAUACCCCUGUAGUC